AGGGGGCAGCAGGGCCCGGGUCAGAGCCGGCCGGGGGCCUGCCUGGGGCAGCUCACAGCCUGCCCAGGAACCAGCCCAGCUCAGCCCGCUUGGUUGAGCCCAGGAGAUCUGCACGGGGGAAAGAAGGGGACAGCUCAGGGGAGGAGCAUCGAAAGGGCUCAGAGUCAGCGGGGUAAUCUGAGGAUGAGUCCUCCUGCAGAGGAGCGGAACACCAGACGCUCUGCAAAGCCCGCGGUGUCCGAGCCAGGCGGGGAGAGGGUCUCAGAGGUCUCCCCAGCUCCAGGGAUGAGGAGGGAGCUGGGUAUUCUGGCUACCCUAGGUCACCUGCUGGGAGGCCCUUUCCUUCGUGAGAACCAAGCUGACCUAUUCCGCCGGGAUAUGGAGGCCCAUGUGCUUCCCUGACAGCCAACCAUUCCGUGGAGGAGGGAGAGAGGCCCUAGCGUCCGCAGCCGGCUCCGAAGAGGAGGUAGAGCCAUGCUCGCAUAGCCACGCGUUGUGCUCUGUCGCCCCCUGGUGUCCUAUUUAGAAAUGAGCCGCAAUGUGGGGCUCUGACUUACCUUUCUU